GAGCUUAGACGGCAGCUUGAGUCGUAUCAUUUGACGCAGGGAUUUGGACUGCAGCGAUUUGCCACAUCACCUGAGGACAUUCGGUACUAUACAAGAUUUCCGUCAUAUGAGCAUUUGAUGGCCUUUUGGAAUCUAAUCCAAGAGGCAACAAGCAGGAUGGUGAGGGUCACCAGUGGUCAGAAGAGCCUUUCCACCAGCACAUCCACCGAGAGCCCUGUAAACAGACCAACUAAAUUGUUGCCAAUUGAUGAGCUCUUCUUGUUCCUGAAUUAUCUGG